UGGGGGAUAUUGCACAAUGGGCGAAAGCCUGAUGCAGCGACGCCGCGUGGGGGAUGAAGGCCUUCGGGUUGUAAACUUCUUUUGCUCUGAACAAGGCAUGCCUUUGGGGUGUGUUGAGUGUAGGGGUUGAUUAGCGCCGGCUAACUACGUGCCAGCAGCCGCGGUAAUACGUAGGGCGCGAGCGUUGUCCGGAAUUAUUGGGCGUAAAGGGCUUGUAGGUGGCUGGUUGCGUCUGUCGUGAAAGCUCAUGGCUUAACUGUGGGUUUGCGGUGGGUACGGGCUGGCUUGAGUGCAGUAGGGGAGGCUGGAAUUCCUGUUGUAGCGGUGGAAUGCGCAGAUAUCAGGAGGAAUACCGGUGGCGAAGGCGGGUCUCUGGGCUGUUACUGACGCUGAGGAGCGAAAGCGUGGGGAGCGAACAGG
rnacentral:rRNA from 1 species